rnacentral:rRNA from 1 species
AGGCAGCAGUGGGGGAUAUUGCACAAUGGGCGAAAGCCUGAUGCAGCAACGCCGCGUGAGGGAAGACGGUUUACGGAUUGUAAACCUCUGUCUUCGGUGAAGAAACAAAUGACGGUAACCGAGGAGGAAGCCACUGGCUAACUAC